rnacentral:rRNA from 1 species
UACGUAGGGGCGAGCGUUGUCCGAUUAUCGUGGCGUAAAGCGCGCGUAGGCGGUCUUUUAAGUCUGGUGUGAAAGGUUCAGGGCUCAACCCGAACAGUGCACUGGAUACUGGGAGACUUGAGUGCGGGAGAGGAGAGUGGAAUUCCUGGUGUAGCGGUGAAAUGCGUAGAUAUCAGGAGGAACACCGAUGGCGAAGGCAGCUCUCUGGCCUGCAACUGACGCUGAGGUGCGAAAGCGUGGGGAGCGAACGGG